rnacentral:misc_RNA from 1 species
CCGAGUUUACAACUCCCAAAGCCCCUGUGAACAUACCACUUGUUGCCUCGGCGGAUCAGCCCGCUCCCGGUAAAACGGGACGGCCCGCCAGAGGACCCCUAAACUCUGUUUCUAUAUGUAACUUCUGAGUAAAACCAUAAAUAAAUCA